GAUGAACGCUAGCGGCAGGCUUAACACAUGCAAGUCGAGGGGCAGCACGUCUUCGGAUGGUGGCGACCGGCGCACGGGUGAGUAACGCGUAUGCAAUCUACCUUUUACAGGGGCAUAGCCCGGGGAAACCCGGAUUAAUAUCCUAUAGUACCAUUAUAUAGCAUUAUAUUAUGGUUAAAGUUUCGGCGGUAAAAGAUGAGCAUGCGUCCUAUUAGCUUGAUGGUAAGGUAACGGCUUACCAUGGCUAUGAUAGGUAGGGGUCCUGAGAGGGAGACCCCCCACACUGGUACUGAGACACGGACCAGACCCCUACGGGAGGCAGCAGUGAGGAAUAUUGGACAAUGGGCGCAAGCCUGAUCCAGCCAUGCCGCGUGCAGGAAGACGGCCCUAUGGGUUGUAAACUGCUUUUAUACGGGAAGAAACACCCCUUCGUGAAGGGACUUGACGGUACCGUAUGAAUAAGGAUCGGCUAACUCCGUGCCAGCAGCCGCGGUAAUACGGAGGAUCCG
rnacentral:rRNA from 1 species